UAUUUUCCCGGCUGAUGUGGUUAAUUUAUGCUAUAUGUUCUUGUUAUUCUCUCCUUGAAAAUUUGAUUGCACACAUAUAUCUGUUUUCUGAUGAGGACAUAUAUAUAACAUCUGUUCUAUAUACAUUUUCAAAAACAAAUAACAUCCGUUCUCAUCCAGUUUUCCUCCCUUUUCUGUUAGCUUAAUUUUUAUUUUUUUUUUC
rnacentral:lncRNA from 1 species